rfam:Stanieria cyanosphaera PCC 7437, complete genome.
GCGGAUGUGGUGGAAUCGGUAGACACGCACGCUUGAGGGGCGUGUGGCUUUGCCAUGCGAGUUCGAGUCUCGCCAUCCGCA